rnacentral:lncRNA from 1 species
ACUUCGGUCUUUCAUUUUGUUAACUUUGUGUAUAAAGAUUGUGACUAUUUUGUAGAAUUUUCUGCGGACUGAAGCUUGCCAAACAACUCCAAGACAGAAAAAGAGGAAGCAAAACAUGAGGAAGAAGGAAUGCAUGAGUUUAAGAAGAGAAAGGCAAGUUUACACAAAAGAACAAGGAAAAUAACUGACAGCCCUCAAUGUACAAUGACUGUCCUGCGUGCUCCAGGCUAACUCAAUUCUUCUUCCCUCUGGCCAGAAUGCAUGCCACUGGAGAAACAAUUUAUUUCCCGAAACCACGCUGCCUUCAGCAAUUUCAAAUAGCUUUAAAUUAUGUGAAGUUAAACAAAGGUCUUAAAAUUUACAAGAAGUUCUCCAUUUGCUGUGUGCAUUUCUCUAAGGAAAUUAUUGCUUUUUCAUCUGCCAUUCAUCUCAUCCACAUAGGAACAAAGUGGAUUUUCAGGUCUUUGUACAGGAAAUUUGCCACAAUUCAUUAAUGCUAAUA